rnacentral:rRNA from 1 species
CCUACGGGUGGCAGCAGUGGGGGAUAUUGCACAAUGGGGGGAACCCUGAUGCAGCGACGCCGCGUGGGUGAAGGAGCGUUUCGGCGCGUAAAGCCCUAUCGGCAGGGAAGAAGAUGACGGUACCUGGCCAAGAAGCCCUGGCUAACUACGUGCCAGCAGCCGCGGUAAUACGUAGGGGGCAAGCGUUAUCCGGAUUUAUUGGGUUUAAAGGGUGCGUAGGCGGAUUUUUAAGUCAGCGGUAAAAUGUCCGGGCUCAACCCGGGCCGGCCGUUGAAACUGGGGAUCUUGAGUGGGCGAGAAGUAUGCGGAAUGCGUGGUGUAGCGGUGAAAUGCAUAGAUAUCACGCAGAACUCCGAUUGCGAAGGCAGCAUACCGGCGCCCGACUGACGCUGAGGCACGAAAGCGUGGGGAUCGAACAGGAUUAGAUACCCUAGUAGUC